CUGUCUGCCAACUGCUUUCCCAACUGCCUUUUCCCAACCAACCAACCAACUAACCAAAACCAACCUCGGGAUAAGCCCUUUUAUAAACAGGUAGGCUCCGCCUCUGGCUUUUCUAUUGGUCUACCUAUUAACUCUUUAUCUUCCCCUGUACAGACAUUUUCAAAUGAAUGGGCAAACACCACAGAGCCCAUUUUUGAAAAACUUAUUUUGUCACACACACCCAGUGAUGACAUCUGGGGCGCACCCCACACCCCACACCCCCUUCCUCUGCCACUGAAUGCAUUACUAAAUAGACAUCUGACUAAUUGGGAAUAUGGUUUGAGCGUCCACAAUGAAUCCCCAAAGAGAAUUUGCUCCAACAGGAGGGAAGCGCUGGAGUUCUAAUGGAAAUGGAGAAAAAACUCUGUCUGCUUUCUCUACACCAUGCAUCAUUUUAUAAGCCUCUAGAGUUACUGUUAAGUUGUGGGUGAACAUAUCAGAUGACACAGCGAUUCUUCAAACAGCUCUUGUUUAUUCAGAAGCCAGAACAGAACUGAACUGAAGAGCUCAGUCAGCCUGCUUAUAUAGAGCUCCAGAACAACGUAACUGCAGCAACUUUCUAAAACUAUCCAAUCACUGAACAUCACUUUCGAUCCUUCAUUUGCAUACAAACUAUCCAAUCACUGAACGUCACUUUCGAUCCUUCAUUUGCAUAACUAUCUACAAUAUCCCCCUGCUGGCCCAGGGUGAGAACUUCAGUACAUAACAGUUACCUAUCCUUCUUUUCUUUUCUUUUUUACCCUAGGGUAAAAAUCCCCAAGGAGUUCGGCUCAACCUUCCUCAAAUUGGUUGUCCUCCAGGUGUCAUUGGAGUAUAAUUCCCGUGAGCCCCAGCCAGCAAGGCCAGUGGCCAGAGUUAAUGGGGAGCUAUAGCCCAGGAGGCUGCCUAGGAGGUCCCAUUUAAGAGUGGUGGAUGGUGGCUUAAUUUUUCAUGACUCAUCUCAGUUCUUCUAGAGAGGCAAGCUUCUGUGCUCCACCCCACAGUUUGGGAAUCAUUGUAGUAGAAAGACCGUGAAUGCGUAAGAGCAGGAGAGUACAUGUGAACGAUACAUCAAUAUUCAAGCUUUGCCUUUCCAGGAGUUCCCCACCCCCCACCCCUCUCUUUCUGAUACAUCAAUCUCAAAUGAAAAGAUUGCCCAGAUACAAAGAAAUCAAGGAGAAAUGGGACAAUUGGGAGACAUUAAAGCGAGUCAUUUUCCCCUUCAUUUUCACUUCAUUUUUUUUGCAACCCUUCCAAAGAAGUGAAAGACGUGACCUCACUGUGUUCAUUUCCUUAGACAAUGAUUUUCCAUUCAGAUGGAGAGAAUCUAGUAUUUCUAUUAAGCCUAAACAAAGUGCUAAUAUAAUUCUUCAAGCAGUAUAUAAAAAAUUCAUUAUCCCUUUGAAGGCCAAACAAGUUGGAGCGCCAGCAGAAUAAUGCACUGGAUCUUACUUAUGAUCAGCAUCUCUCCUGAAUUGUGUGUGCUUCGUGCACAGAUGGUAUUUAUUGACAACAAAACUUAAGAAAAUGCCUGGCUGGUAUUCAGUGUUUAUUAAAGUGGACCCUGGAGGCAUAAAAGCAGAGAUCUCUGUCCUUUAUAGGAGAGAAAAUGCCUUAUUGCAUACAUUGCCUAACAUUAAUUUUGUAAAUCUGUUUCCUCAGAUGCUGGGUCCCCAGAACGAUUAGGAUAUAUAUUUUCAUAAUAAAAGGAAUACCAUGUCAGGUUUCACUGCAAUGUGAUGGAACCCCUACUGUGCAUGAAAUGAAGGAUCCCAAAGUCUAUAGUAGUUUUCGGCAGUCGUAUUCAGAUGGCAAAAUGAAAUUAAUCAUCUCUGAAGGGGGGUGGCCUACAGCGGUUUCUCCGCUGUUGAAAACCGUAGCGUUUGCUACGUGGUCUAAAAUGCAUGUGCGACCCCUACAUAUUUUAUGAGGGGUACUGGCAUUCAUUUAUUUAUUUAAAAAAUCAUAUCCUCCUCUUCAUCACAGGUGAUCUCAAGGCAGG